rnacentral:rRNA from 1 species
UACGUAGGGGGCAAGCGUUAUCCGGAUUUACUGGGUGUAAAGGGGGCGCAGACGGCGAUGCAAGCCAGGAGUGAAAGCCCGGGGCCCAACCCCGGGACUGCUCUUGGAACCGCGUGGCUGGAGUGCAGGAGGGGCAGGCGGAAUUCCUGGUGUAGCGGUGAAAUGCGUAGAUAUCAGGAGGAACACCGGUGGCGAAGGCGGCCUGCUGGACUGCAACUGACGUUGAGGCCCGAAAGCGUGGGGAGCAAACAGG